CUGCAGUGGAGUGAGAAGAACCAGCAGCUCCCAGCUGCCUCCACCCAGCCUAAGUAGCAGGGCGGCCCAAUUGGAAUCAGGUGUGUCCAGCUGUCCCAGCUCUGGCCAAGCGUUAAAUUGUGGAGAGCACCACAAGGCACAAUUUAUUUUCCUUUUCUGUGCAUUCUAGAGUGUGAAAACAAGUUAAUAUGAGCAAGCUAACAAUGGACGUCAUGGGAAAUACGCUAAAGCCAUCAUAAAAUACAAAAUUACAUAACAGACUUCUAUAUUAACUAAGUUACAGCGAUAUUGUCAUUGUAGCAGCUAACACAAAAAAACGCCUUGCUAGCGGUUUCUUGUCAGCGUCACUCACAGACAAAAGCGUGGAUACCUAGAUCUCAAUUCCGCUACGAAGACUCAACAAGAUGCUCGUUUGCUGUCAGCGAGGACUGGAGCACACUUCUCGUGCUGGAAGAAACAGCCAUUCCAAGGACAGCGGACAUUGGUGUACCCUGCCUUUCGCCCAAAGGCAGCUGGGAGAGGCUCCAGCAUGACCGCGACCCUUCUCGCUUGUGUAUCAGCCCACGAGUAUUAUCCACCCUCUGAAUAAGCUUGCCAGCAAUGUAGCCAGUCCUCCAGAUGUGAGUCCAAGCUGCAAGGCUUCCAAAGUGGGGCUAUGAUUGUUGUGAAAACACCCUCAGGCUCAUUGAGGGGCCAAAGUGGAAAACGUUUAUGCAUAUUCCACAUAUCAAAUACAAACCUCAAACCAUUGUUUGUGUGGAUGAUGAAGUCUGGCUCUUGUCUGUCUCAGUGGAAAUGAUGGAUACAGGAUGGCUAUAAUUAAAAAAAAAAAAACAAGACUGUUGACCUGUUUCAGUCUUUUACUGAUGGACUCCAAGACAGCUAAAAGACAGACAAUAUUGAAACAGCUCUUAAGUGUGUUUUAAAUUAUAUUUCCUGCCACAAUGUAGUCCAACAUUGUUAUAUAAGAGUUGCCUUUAAUUUUAGAUGUGUUCUCUGUUCGGUGUUUUCAAAUUUGGUGUGGCUGUGCGGCUGGACAAUUAAUUAUGUAGCUCCGCUCUGUUUCUUAAUUUCCCGUCUCACUGGUUGCAAGACAUGAAUUAAUAACAUCCUUUAAUAAGCUAUGUUUUUUUGUCUUGUUCCUGUCAUAUACCUAUUAGUGAGGCAUGCUUUGAAUGACAGAGAGAG